UCACCGGAAGGAUAUCACUAUAUUAAUGGAAUCAAAUGAAUUGUCCUGUAUAAAGCUCCAUAGCACUCAGAUGAUAUCGCACAAGAUUUUCCCCAAAAUAAGCCUCACAAUAAAGAGACAUUCAUUCAAGAAUGACAGAUAAUAGGCCUAUACAAAUCACUCAAGAUCUAUACAAAACGACUGGAAAUUAUCUCAUCAACAAGGGCUUAUUUCAGAGUGUAGUAGAGAGAAAACGAAGAAUCCAAAGAGAGAGUUCAAAAAGCAAGAGAUAAUGAAAAGUAUGGCAUCCCAAACCCUAAUCUAGACUAAAUAUCGAAGGCACUAGAAUGUCUCCAUCCAAUGGUACAAGGGGUGACACUUGGUAAGAUCAGGUACAUUUGUUCUUAUAAAAGAAAAGUCGUGUUUCAGCAACGUGUUUUUGGCCAAGAAGCAAAUCGGUAUCAAUUCAAUAUUUAAGGAUCCAGCGCCCAAGCCCAUCAAUUCAAAGAGUUUAGCCCAACAUCAUUGUGUCAUUCUUUACAUUCUCUACCUUGGUACAAUGAUUCCGGCAUCAUUUAUAGUGAUUCCUCCAGUCAUAACAUCAUUUGCUCUUAUUCCUGAUACCCAAUUCAACAAAAGUUAAUAUUUAGCUGACUUAAACAGUCCAGAAACUUGUUUAAAGACAGCACUUUAGUACCAACAUCAGCAAGAUUA
rnacentral:lncRNA from 1 species